UGGUGGAGUGAUUUGUCUGGUUAAUUCCGAUAACGAAUGAGACCUUAACCUGCUAAAUAGUCAGGCCGGCUUCGGCUGGUCGUCGACUUCUUAGAGGGACUGUCGGCGUUUAGCCGACGGAAGUUUGAGGCAAUAACA
rnacentral:rRNA from 1 species